UGCGAAGGGGGCUAGCGUUGCUCGGAAUCACUGGGCGUAAAGCGCACGUAGGCGGAUUGCUAAGUCAGGGGUGAAAUCCUGGAGCUCAACUCCAGAACUGCCUUUGAUACUGGCGAUCUCGAGUCCGGGAGAGGUGAGUGGAACUGCGAGUGUAGAGGUGAAAAUUCGUAGAUAUUCGCAAGAACACCAGUGGCGAAGGCGGCUCACUGGCCCGGUACUGACGCUGAGGUGCGAAAGCGGUGGGGAG
rnacentral:rRNA from 1 species